rnacentral:rRNA from 1 species
GACGAACGCUGGCGGCGUGCCUAAUACAUGCAAGUAGGACGCACAGUUUAUACCGUAGCUUGCUACACCAUAGACUGUGAGUUGCGAACGGGUGAGUAACGCGUAGGUAACCUGCCUAUUAGAGGGGGAUAACUAUUGGAAACGAUAGCUAAUACCGCAUAACAGUAUGUAACACAUGUUAGAUGCUUGAAAGAUGCAAUUGCAUCGCUAGUAGAUGGACCUGCGUUGUAUUAGCUAGUAGGUAGGGUAAUGGCCUACCUAGGCGACGAUACAUAGCCGACCUGAGAGGGUGAUCGGCCACACUGGGACUGAGACACGGCCCAGACUCCUACGGGAGGCAGCAGUAGGGAAUCUUCGGCAAUGGGGGGAACCCUGACCGAGCAACGCCGCGUGAGUGAAGAAGGUUUUCGGAUCGUAAAGCUCUGUUGUUAAGGAAGAAACGAGUGUGAGAAAUGGAAAGUUCAUAAC